rnacentral:rRNA from 2 species
UACGUAGGGUCCGAGCGUUGUCCGGAAUUAUUGGGCGUAAAGGGCUUGUAGGCGGUUUGUCACGUCGGAAGUGAAAACUCAGGGCUCAACCCUGAGCCUGCUUCCGAUACGGGCAAACUAGAGGGAUGCAGGGGAGAAUGGAAUUCCUGGUGGAGCGGUGGAAUGCGCAGAUAUCAGGAGGAACACCGGUGGCGAAGGCGGUUCUCUGGGCAUUUCCUGACGCUGAGAAGCGAAAGCGUGGGGAGCAAACAGG